UAGGGAAUCUUCGGCAAUGGACGAAAGUCUGACCGAGCAACGCCGCGUGAGUGAAGAAGGUUUUCGGAUCGUAAAACUCUGUUGUUAGAGAAGAACAAGGACGUUAGUAACUGAACGUCCCCUGACGGUAUCUAACCAGAAAGCCACGGCUAACUACGUGCCAGCAGCCGCGGUAAUACGUAGGUGGCAAGCGUUGUCCGGAUUUAUUGGGCGUAAAGCGAGCGCAGGCGGUUUCUUAAGUCUGAUGUGAAAGCCCCCGGCUCAACCGGGGAGGGUCAUUGGAAACUGGGAGACGUGAGUGCAGAAGAGGAGAGUGGAAUUCCAUGUGUAGCGAUGAAAUGCGUAGAUAUAUGGAGGAACACCAGUGGCGAAGGCGGCUCUCUGGUCUGUAACUGACGCUGAGGCUCGAAAGCGUGGGGAGCAAACAGG
rnacentral:rRNA from 1 species